rnacentral:rRNA from 1 species
AUGUUAGGUUGUGUUUAUCGGGUUAAGCAUUUUGUAGAUUUGAAUACACGCAUACAGUGGAAGGCUCUCACUUCGUUGGUGAUGUUAAUAUCUUGGGAGAUUUGGAAAGAACGCAACGCGAGAGUUUUCUGCAACACUGCCGCGCUCACCAUGGUAAUUGUUAGGAGAAUCAAGGAAGAGGCCCGUCUUUGGGUGCUAGCAGGUGUGAAAUACUUGAGUAAUGUAAUGCCGCGUGAGUAA